CCCAGCGGUAGUCAGCUGCCCGUUGCUGCUCCGUGCUGGGGUCGGUGUUAUGCCGCUGGGAGAGAAACGCGCCGCCGAGUCGCUCCUGGCGCCGCCGGGGCUGUUCUAGUGCCGGCCGGGCCGGGUUUCGGCAGCGCUCUGCAUGCUUGAGAGUGGAGCGACUCCUGCGUGGAGUCAGUCCUGGAUUGGAUGCAGACAGC
rfam:Columba livia unplaced genomic scaffold scaffold79, whole genome shotgun sequence.